AGGAUAAACGCUGGCGGCGUGCCUAACACAUGCAAGUCGAACGCGCUUUCGGGCUUCGGUGCGAGAGCGAGUGGCGGACGGGUGAGUAACACAUGGGUACCUACCUUGGAGUGAGGGAUACCGGCGAGAAAUCGCCGACAAUACCGCAUAGGCUUCUUCACAAGGGAAGCAAAGUGACGCGAGUCACGCUUUGAGAUGGGCCUAUGGCCGAUUAGCUAGUUGGGGGGGUAACGGCUUCCCAAGGCGACGAUCGGUAGCUGGUCUGAGAGGACGAUCAGCCACACUGGGAUUGAGAACGGCCCAGACUCCUACGGGGGGCAGCAGUGAGGAAUUUUCCGCAAUGGAGGCAACUCUGACGGAGCAACGCCGCGUGCAGGAGGAAGGUUUUCGGAUCGUAAACUGCUUUUCUCGGGGACGAGCGAAGGACGGUACCCGAGGAACGAAGCCCCGGCUAACUACGCGCCAGCAGCCGC
rnacentral:rRNA from 1 species